rnacentral:rRNA from 1 species
CUACGGGUGGCAGCAGUGAGGAAUUUUGCGCAAUGGGGGGAACCCUGACGCAGCAACGCCGCGUGAGUGAUGAAGGCUUUCGGGUCGUAAAGCUCUGUCAAGUGGGAAGAACCUAUGCAGUGUUAAUAUCACUGUAUACUGACGGUACCACUGAAGGAAGCACCGGCUAACUCCGUGCCAGCAGCCGCGGUAAUACGGGGGGUGAAGCGUUAUUCGGAAUCAUUGGGCGUAAAGGGCACGUAGGCGGCUUGGUAAGUCAGAUGUGAAAGCCCGGGGCUUAACCCCGGAAGUGCAUUUGAUACUGUCAGGCUUGAGUAUGGGAGAGGGAAGUGGAAUUCCUGGUGUAGAGGUGAAAUUCGUAGAUAUCAGGAGGAACACCGGUGGCGAAGGCGACUUCCUGGACCAAUACUGACGCUGAGGUGCGAAGGCGUGGGUAGCAAACAGGAUUAGAUACCCUUGUAGUC